GGACUACUAGGGUAUCUAAUCCUGUUUGCUCCCCACGCUUUCGAGCCUCAGCGUCAGUUACAGACCAGAGAGCCGCCUUCGCCACUGGUGUUCCUCCAUAUAUCUACGCAUUUCACCGCUACACAUGGAAUUCCGCUCUCCUCUUCUGCACUCAAGUCUCCCAGUUUCCAAUGACCCUCCACGGUUGAGCCGUGGGCUUUCACAUCAGACUUAAAAGACCGCCUACACUCCCUUUACGCCCAAUAAAUCCGGACAACGCUCGCCACCUACGUAUUACCGCGGCUGCUGGCAC
rnacentral:rRNA from 1 species